GACGAACGCUGGCGGCGUGCCUAAUACAUGCAAGUGGAGCGCUGAAGGUUGGUACUUGUACCAACUGGAUGAGCAGCGAACGGGUGAGUAACGCGUGGGGAAUCUGCCUUUGAGCGGGGGACAACAUUUGGAAACGAAUGCUAAUACCGCAUAAAAACUUUAAACACAAGUUUUAAGUUUGAAAGAUGCAAUUGCAUCACUCAAAGAUGAUCCCGCGUUGUAUUAGCUAGUUGGUGAGGUAAAGGCUCACCAAGGCGAGGAUACAUAGCCGACCUGAGAGGGUGAUCGGCCACAUUGGGACUGAGACACGGCCCAAACUCCUCCGGGAGGCAGCAGUAGGGAAUCUUCGGCAAUGGACGAAAGUCUGACCGAGCAACGCCGCGUGAGUGAAGAAGGUUUUCGGAUCGUAAAACUCUGUUGGUAGAGAAGAACGUUGGUGAGAGUGGAAAGCUCAUCAAGUGACGGUAACUACCCAGAAAGGGACGGCUAACUACGUG
rnacentral:rRNA from 1 species